rnacentral:rRNA from 1 species
GGGUCAGUAGGUUGGUCGUGCCACCGGUACGUACUGGUCUCACUGAUUCCUCCUUCCUGAAGAACCGUAAUGCCAUUAAUUUGGUGUUGCGGGGAAACAGGACUGUUACUUUGAAAAAAUUAGAGUGUUUAGAGCAAGCUAACGCUUGAAUACAUUAGCAUGGAAUAAUGAAAUAGGACGAUCGAUCCUAUUUUGUUGAUUUCUAGGAUUGACGUA